rnacentral:rRNA from 1 species
UGGGGAAUAUUGGACAAUGGGCGAAAGCCUGAUCCAGCCAUGCCGCGUGAGUGAUGAAGGCCUUAGGGUUGUAAAGCUCUUUCAGUAGGGAAGAUAAUGACGGUACCUACAGAAGAAGCCCCGGCUAACUUCGUGCCAGCAGCCGCGGUAAUACGAAGGGGGCUAGCGUUGUUCGGAUUUACUGGGCGUAAAGCGCACGUAGGCGGAUCGUUAAGUCGGGGGUGAAAUCCUGGAGCUCAACUCCAGAACUGCCUUCGAUACUGGCGAUCUUGAGUCCGGAAGAGGUGAGUGGAACUCCUAGUGUAGAGGUGGAAUUCGUAGAUAUUAGGAAGAACACCAGUGGCGAAGGCGGCUCACUGGUCCGGUACUGACGCUGAGGUGCGAAAGCGUGGGGAGCAAACAG